rnacentral:lncRNA from 1 species
GCUCUGUAGAAUUUCCCUUUGAGUUUGUGUGGAAUUUUCUUGUCACACAGGACCCCUGAAGCGAGUCUCCACUUUGACCACCCCGCUCCAAUCCGAUGGGUGACGUCCCGGUCAAUCUCACCGUCCCCCUGAAUCACAGACCCAAGGUAUCUAACACUGUCCCUCUUGGCGAUAGCCUGAUAACCAAGCAUCACUUCCCCGCCUACCCCACUCGGCCCGUCGCCAAACUUGCACUCC